CUGUGUAGCCGUUGGUGAAGAUAGUGACCCGCCCUUCUUUUCCAGUCGCUGUAACGGUCAUAUUUCCAGAGAGAGAGAGAAAGGUAACCCGCCCAGGCGCCAUCUUUGGAAAGCAACCGCUCCAUUAAGCAACCACUCCAUUAAUGAAGUUUGGGACUUGGGAGAGGGUUGUGUGGCCCGUAGGCGGGACUUCAUCUGGUCGGCCCUCCAAAUAAGUCAAUAUACUCUACUCUACCUCAGACCGACCAAACUGCAUCCUCUCUUAGGCGUGGGACUGGCUGCUACCUCGUCUAGCUGACCCCCUCUACCCAGCGUACUGGGGAGCUGCAUCCUCUCCGAGCACAAUUAGACGGUACCCACACACUAUCUGAGAUAUGUGGUUGCACUCUAUCUAUAUAUAGCAACGGUACCGUGCUCUGUAAACUGUAUUUGUACUGUAUCUGUCUAUGAUCUUUCCACAGGGAUCUGAUACUAUAUACAUAUAUACUCUUUUACUGUUUUCGCCAUGUUUCCAAAGUUGCCAUAAUGCUAUAUUUCUGUACUGUAAAUACUAUAAUCUCUGUAUACUAUAUCGGUAGCAUCUUGAUGAUACCCUUGUAUAUUUGUCUAUACACUCUGUCUUUAUACUCUGUAUAUUAUGGUAAUAGGAAACAUAACAUACUAUAACUCUGUAUAUACUGUUCUGUAUAUAUAUAUAUAU